rnacentral:rRNA from 1 species
ACGGGAGGCAGCAGUGGGGGAUAUUGCACAAUGGGGGAACCCUGAUGCAGCGACGCCGCGUGAGUGAUGAAGUAUUUCGGUAUGUAAAGCUCUAUCAGCAGGGAAGAUAAUGACGGUACCUGACUAAGAAGCACCGGCUAAAUACGUGCCAGCAGCCGCGGUAAUACGUAUGGUGCAAGCGUUAUCCGGAUUUACUGGGUGUAAAGGGAGCGUAGACGGCAUGGCAAGCCAGAUGUGAAAGGCAGGGGCUCAACCCCUGGACUGCAUUUGGAACUGUCAAGCUAGAGUAUCGGAGAGGUAAGUGGAAUUCCUAGUGCAGCGGUGAAAUGCGUAGAUAUUAGGAGGAACACCAGUGGCGAAGGCGGCUUACUGGACGAUAACUGACGUUGAGGCUCGAAAGCGUGGGGAGCAGACAGGAUUAGAUACCCUGGUA